rnacentral:rRNA from 1 species
GCGCGCGUAAGGCGGUUUUUUAAGUCUGAUGUGAAAGCCCACGGCUCAACCGUGGAGGGUCAUUGGAAACUGGAAAACUUGAGUGCAGAAGAGGAAAGUGGAAUUCCAUGUGUAGCGGUGAAAUGCGCAGAGAUAUGGAGGAACACCAGUGGCGAAGGCGACUUUCUGGUCUGUAACUGACGCUGAUGUGCGAAAGCGUGGGGAUCAAACAGGAUUAGAUACCCCCGUA